UCUGAACGUUUCACCUAUCGUUGCGGUGUACUGUUCUUGAUCUGCUGCGAAGCGACGAACCACAACGGCAGUCACUCGCCUCAGCGAAAUUUUGUCUGCUGCAUCUUAAAGGAGCAUGGGGACCUGAUGAUACCUUCAACUAAAGAAACCAAAUGUGCUCUCGUGUGGUCCUGACGGAAAAGUAGUAUCAACAAGGCUAUGCCGCUCCGAAGCAUUGAGAUGACGAAGCAUCGUGGUAGCUGCACCUCUGCCUUCGAAAGAUGAAUCAGUCAUUCCACACUGUGCUUACUGGCUUUGUAUAGAGUCUGGCAAAUCCGACAGACUUGGACUGCCUUUUUCAAGAAAGUUUGAAAUAGCAUCCCCUAUGCACCUGCAUUUCAAUUCCAAUCUGUAUUACAAGAAUGACAGACCACUCAACAGAGAUGAACAUCUGAAAGGAAAGAGCUGGAAUGAAGAUACGUUAAUCUGUGUCAAAGGUUCUUAGUAUGUGUGCGAGUCGAGGACAUAGGUCUCAAGCUAAUUCCUGUCUUCAGAAGAGGUGACAACUAUGCUCCUUCUAUCUAUUAACCAGCUCCACUUUUUAGGGUUCCCUGUAAACUAAUGGAGCACAUCAUGUACUACCACAUUGUCAACCAAGUCGAGUCUGUCGAUUUCUUUUUUUACAUUCCAGCAUGGCUUUAGAAAAGGGUAUUCAGGCAAAACUAACGUAGUGGAAUUCGUUCACAGCAUUUCAAACUGUCUUGAUUUCUGGGUCCACGUAGAUGUAGUAUUCUUUUUAUUUUGUAAGGGCUUUUGACACUGUGCUCUAUGCUCGCGUGUUGGCCAAAGUAGCCUAAUUAAAAUUUGAUCCUGCUACCUGGAUAUGCAGUUUCUCAACUAACCGUAACCGUGGCGACAAC